rnacentral:lncRNA from 1 species
GGAGGAACUUUCUUGGUGUCCUCAAUGGAAGGAUUUUUGCUCCUGGGUAAAGAUGAAGUGUUGCCCUUUUUUACUGAGGAUCGUGGUGCAGGUGUUGCAGUAGAAGUUGAUAUAGACUUUGACGCUCUGGGGGUGGAAGUAGAUAUAGGCUUUGACACUCUAGGAGUGGAAGUUGAUAUAGGCUUUGACACUCUAGGGGUGGAAGUUGAUAUAGGCUUUGACACUCUAGGGGUGGAAGUUGAUAUAGGCUUUGACAUUCUAGGGGUGGAUUUCUGUGGUGUUUUAGUUAUUUGUGGAAUUGGUUUCUUCUUAACAUUUGCCACAUUUCUCUCCUUGCUCACUCCAGUAGUA